rnacentral:rRNA from 1 species
AUUGAACGCUGGCGGCAGGCCUAACACAUGCAAGUCGAGCGGAUGAAGGGAGCUUGCUCCUGGAUUCAGCGGCGGACGGGUGAGUAAUGCCUAGGAAUCUGCCUGGUAGUGGGGGAUAACGUCCGGAAACGGGCGCUAAUACCGCAUACGUCCUGAGGGAGAAAGUGGGGGAUCUUCGGACCUCACGCUAUCAGAUGAGCCUAGGUCGGAUUAGCUAGUUGGUGGGGUAAAGGCCUACCAAGGCGACGAUCCGUAACUGGUCUGAGAGGAUGAUCAGUCACAUGGGAAAUGAGACAGGGUCGGGACACCUGCGGGGGGAAGCGGGGGGAAAUAUUGGACAAAGGGAAAAGGCCUAACAGAACCAUGCCGCGGGAGAGAAGAGGGUCUUGGGAUUGAAAAGAACUUUAAUUUGGGGGAAAGGAGAGUAAGUUAAUCCCUUGCUGUUUUGACGUUACCAAAAGAAAAAACCCCGGCUAACUUCGUG